AAGUAGGACUCCCUUCUAUGGUAUAUACAUUAUAAUUUCUGUUCAUGACCCAGGCAGAUAUUAGGCUUGUCCUUGGUGCUCCAUUUCUUUGCCUUGCAGAUCUCCUGGCCUCCUUGACUCAAACUGAGGGACUCCAUUCUGGAUAUGGUGCUUCAUGAUUCUUCUGCAUCCUUGUCCACAUCAUAUGCCAUCAUAUCCUCAGUGUCUGAUCUUCUACUGCAGAUGGGGAAACUGAGGCUGAGAGGUCAAGCAUCAAGGAUUCAAACAAAGAUCUUCUGACUCCAGACCUUUGGGCUUACACAGAAGUGGCAUUUACAGGCUCAGUGAGUGUUCCAGGAACUGACUUUCCAUAGUAUGAUGACCUGCAAAAGCAGCCCUUCCAUUUACAUUUCAAACUCCAAGUCAGCCGUGGCCGAGUCUGAACUAGAGCGGUACAGGAUAAUGGGUCAAAUGUAAUUAGCAGGCCAAAUAACUGUAUGGUCCAGGCUGAUUUAUUUUGUGCCCAUCAGAUUCCAAGAACCCGAGUGCUUAAAGGCAACCAAACAAUCAGUCUAUUGUAGAGAAACCAACCCCAGCUCGCUCAAAAAUCAAUUGCCCCGUAAGGCAAGGGCAGCCCUGUGCCCCUAAACAGAUGGGCUUGAAAAUCCACCUCUCCCCCCGCCCAAAAAAGAACCUCCCUCUUCAUAACGCGCCGACUUGUUAAAUUAUGAACCGGAUCCAGGAACGGAGCAAACGGAGGACCCGAAAGGGGAUGGAGUCAGCUCUACGCUGGCUAGUCUUUCUCCCACUCGUCCUUUUCCUUUAAAAAAAAAAAAGCUACCCUUCCGUUUCCAUCGGUGCUAGCGUCUCUGCAGCAAUGCAACCAUUCACAAUUUGCAGUUCAGUGUGUUACUUUAAUUAGUAUGAAAAUUAAAGGGCAACGAUGGGCCAACGCGAAUGAUUAUGGAAAUACAUGGGCAUCCCAUGCAAUCUUCGCAUUUAAUUAAUCGUCCUGUAAACUGGAUGGUGCACUUUCAGGCGGGGGCUGAGUCUAACAACUCCAUUUGAAAUAACCACUUAAUACUUAACAGGAUGUGGAGAACGCACCCUAGCAUACCGGGGCUUCUCAAGUUUCACUGUCUGAAAUUUUUCAAAGCUGACCCAAGUCAACCUUAAGAAUGUUUAACACUCGGAGCCUGAACACAAGAAACUCUGUGAUGAACAGACAUUCAAUUACAUUUUUUAAAAGUGAGAAGCAUUUUUUUUUUUGUAAAAUAGCAGCUUUGGAAACUAAUUGGCAGACGCCAAACUUGUGAGUCAAGGCCAAAUCUAGCUGGGGCAGCUUUUACUACAGUAACGUUAGUCAAAAGAAAAUGAGGAGAAAAAGGCAUCUUUGUUUCCCAGUCAAAUUAGCUGAUUAAGAAAUAAAACAUCUUAACAUGUUUUUUAAAA